GACGUAGGGCGCGAGCGUUGUCCGGAUUUAUUGGGCGUAAAGAGCUCGUAGGCGGCUUGUCGCGUCGACUGUGAAAACCCGAGGCUCAACUUCGGGCUUGCAGUCGAUACGGGCAGGCUAGAGUUCGGUAGGGGAGACUGGAAUUCCUGGUGUAGCGGUGAAAUGCGCAGAUAUCAGGAAGAACACCUAUGGCGAAGGCAGCUCUCUGGGACGGUACUGACGCUGAGACGCGAAAGCGUGGGGAGCGAACAGG
rnacentral:rRNA from 1 species